UACGUAGGGUGCAAGCGUUAAUCGGAAUUACUGGGCGUAAAGCGUGCGCAGGCGGUUUUGUAAGUCAGAUGUGAAAUCCCCGGGCUUAACCUGGGAACUGCGUUUGAAACUACAAGGCUAGAGUGUGACAGAGGGGGGUGGAAUUCCACGUGUAGCAGUGAAAUGCGUAGAUAUGUGGAGGAACACCGAUGGCGAAGGCAGCCCCCUGGGUCAAGACUGACGCUCAUGCACGAAAGCGUGGGGAGCAAACAGG
rnacentral:rRNA from 1 species